rnacentral:rRNA from 1 species
UACAGAGGGUGCAAGCGUUGCUCGGAAUUACUGGGCGUAAAGCGCACGUAGGCGGUCUUUUAAGUCGGGGGUGAAAUCCUGGAGCUCAACUCCAGAACUGCCUUCGAUACUGGAAGACUUGAGUCCGGGAGAGGUGAGUGGAACUGCGAGUGUAGAGGUGAAAUUCGUAGAUAUUCGCAAGAACACCAGUGGCGAAGGCGGCUCACUGGCCCGGUACUGACGCUGAGGUGCGAAAGCGUGGGGAGCAAACAGG